rnacentral:tRNA from 1 species
UCUUUCUCAGUUGGUAAAGCAUGAGACUCUUAAUCUCAGGGCUGUGGGUUCGAGUCCCAUGCUGGGCAAAA